rnacentral:rRNA from 1 species
CCCUUAGAUGUCCGGGGCUGCACGCGCGCUACACUGUAGGAAGCAGCGUGCUUUAAAACCUUUCCUGAAAAGGAUGGGUAACCCCAGCAAAAUUCUACGUGCUUGGGAUAGAGAUUUGCAAUUUUCUCUCUUGAACGAGGAAUUCCCAGUAAGUGCGAGUCAUCAGCUCGUGUUGAUUACGUCCCUGCCCUUUGUACACACCGCCCGUCGCUACUACCGAUUGAAUGGUUUAGUGAGAUCUCUGGAUUGACGCUGGCUAGGGGGCGACCCUUGGCCGGACUGUUGAGAAACUGCUCAAACUUGAUCAUUUAGAGGAAGUAAAAGUCGUAACA